AAUCAGCAUUUAUUGUGUCCUCAGUGACUGGUCCAUUCUAUGCCAUAUACAACUGUCUUUACAGAGCUUGCAGUCUGCUGAGGGGAACAUCCAAAACUAUCUGAAGCCCCGGGCUGAACCAGGCUCUGCAGACAUUGGUGGUGUCCUAGAAGGCUCUUGCUGAGGUCUUAUGUCUGAAAAGAAACCCUCGGAAACCCACUUGAGUCUGUCUUGCAUUUCACAUGAAACAAGGCUUCAUUCUGCAAAAAUAUCUGGGACCUUCAAAUUCACAAGUGGAUUUUCUGCUCAGGGGAGAGCUACCAAUCGGUUGAAAGGUAUGUUACAGCUCUAAGAAGCUGCAUCCAUUUCCUGUAGGAUCCAUAGUUUCUGGUUCUGGUUCCAGGGUAAGUAUCACUUUACCUGUGUGGUUUACACCCCUUCCUCCAUGGCUGGUUUCUGUUCCUGGGGCUGUUCGUCCCCCUGUAAUUCCCGUCAACCACUUCUCCUUCUCUAUGUUGACAUCGGCUCCCUGAACUGCCCUAGGUGUGGUUGUGGUCUUAUUACUCUUUAUUUUGCCUAUCUGCAUUCUCCCACUUUGCAGUUCUGUGUAAUUGCUGGGCCGCUGGGUUCUUUGCAUCUGUUCUUGGAGGCCACUGAAGUCACGUCCUGAGUUACCUCUCAUCUGGGCCUUGAUUUGCUUCAUCUUUGGCUGGGCCUCAACAAAUCUCUUCACCUGAAAGGAACUCCUUCAAAUGAACUGGUCGCCAUAUGAAUUGAUGCUACACUUUGAGCGUUGCCGCAGUCAGGUGAAUUCAAGCUACAGAGAAGAGGCGAUUCACAUUUUUUCCUUCUGUCUUGUAUUAUUCCUCCGGCUCAAGAACCUGCCAGAGAUGGAAUCUCCCUAUGUUCCCCAGGCUGAUCUUGAAUUUCUGAGCUCAAGCGAUCCUCCUGCCUUGGCCUCCCAAAGUGCCAGGAUUAUAGGCGUGAGCCACCAUGCCUGGCCAGAGAGCAUUUUAGUAAGGAAAGAGGGCAAAAGACAGUGGUCCAGAACUCCUAACAUGGAGCUGAGCAUGUCGGUUAGGAUCCAGAGAACAGCCACGAAGCAGGAUUGACCCAAGUAUGGAAGCUAGAUAAAAAGUUUUAUUGGCCUCAGGCUGAAGUUUGCAAUUAUAUUCCAAAUACCCAAAGUGGGUAUAUUAUUGACGUUGUCCUGAGAGAGGGACAGACAGUUUGACUGUGUUGCUUUCUUUGGAGUCAGUUUUGGGGCUGUUAAGGAUUACCUGGAAACAUUAGAUGAAGCUGGGGCUGGACACUUCUUCUCAGGACAGAAGCACAUUCAUCUAAAUGGAAAUCUAAGGUUGGGAGGAUGCGAAGUGCCAUUUCAUCGUGUCCUAUCCGGAAUGCAUACUCUCAGCAUAACAGCACCAGUGCCAUACCUAGAGAGGCCUUUCCGAGUUACCCUAACACAAAAAGGUGUUUCCAGUCAUUCUCACAUCAGCCUUUUAGUUAUUUUUUCAGUACUUAUCACAACUGGGGAUUGUUGUCUUGUUGGACUGUUUGUCUGUUCCUCUAACUGGACUGUAAGCUUUAGGAGGGCAGAACUGUGUUUAUCUUGUUCACCUGUUUGUUCCCAGCACCUAGUACCCUGCCUGGCACAUAGCUGGCACUCAAAAAUGUUUAAUAAAGAAAACAUUGUGAUUUUCUUAUGUAAA